rnacentral:rRNA from 1 species
UACGGAGGGGGCGAGCGUUAUUCGGAAUUAUUGGGCGUAAAGGGCGCGUAGGCGGCUUGACAAGUCAAAGGUGAAAUCCCUCGGCUCAACUGAGGAACUGCCUUUGAAACUGUCUGGCUUGAGGCCGGGAGGGGGUAGCGGAAUUCCCAGUGUAGCGGUGAAAUGCGUAGAUACUGGGAGGAACACCAGUGGCGAAGGCGGCUACCUGGACCGGUUCUGACGCUGAUGCGCGAAAGCGUGGGUAGCAAACAGG